rnacentral:sRNA from 1 species
AGCACUCAGCAGCAUCCGGGAGAGAGGAGGCAGGGCCUCUGGUGGGAGCCGCCUCAGCCGGCCCUCGGACUGAGAAAUCAGGCUGCACCUCGUCAUCUUCUCAAGUCUUCUGCUUCAUACCUUGUUCUUGUUUACAUGGACUGUUUCCUCAUGGCCUUACCUCAACUGCAGACUGCAAUGUUGGCAGCGUUUUUGUGGGACCCUCGUGAUGUGCUCACAGCGCAGCCUGGGGCCGAACAGUGCGCUGAGAGUUAGCAACAUAUAAGAAUCCUGCAGCCGCAGUUCAGGCUUAUCAGAUUCCGUUUCUGGAAGCUGUACAUCCAGAGAAGGGUGCAGGCCUGGCAGUUCUUAUGGAGCUUCAGGCUGCCCGGGGAGGCGCAGAAGAUUGAUCGCAUGAUGGAGGCUUUCGCUUCUCGCUACUGCCUGUGCAACCCCGGGGUCUUCCAGUCCACAGGUCAGUGCAGAGCCCACAGCCUGGCCCCUCGCCAGACACAGCCUCCGGCUCUGGAGGGGGCGGCCCCUGUGGGCAC